UCGGGUAAACCCUUAGUUGCAGUUUAUAAGUUCAUGCCUCCCCUCAUUUUUCUCAUCCAUACAAUCAUUUUCCUCCGUCAUCUCCUCCCAUAUAUUCAUGUGCCUAAACCCUCAACCUAAGUUUAUGAAAAAGCAUCAUUAGCAAACACAUGUCUAUUGUGGCCGUGGUCUAGGGAGUUCAGGUUACCACUGUAACAUCGAAGGAAGUGUUCCAUAUUGGCAGGGAAACCGAGAGCAAAAGUAGUACGAGCACCACUCAGGCUCUCGAACCUUGUCUUACUGGGUCGAGGAACGGCGGGAGGCUAGGUAGAAGUUCCCGGAGGUGGUGGUCGGGGGUAGACCCAUGCCAACUAUGGCAACGAUAUUGCGGAUGAGAUUUAUAAGGACGAGUAUCUCACCACUCCAUUUCAGUAGCAUCCUCACAUACCUAUUGAGGAGCUGACACCUGACUCAGAGGUGUCUCUUUAGAUGUUGAUGGAUAGGGUUGGCCGAAGGAAGGGCAAGGAAGUUCAGGGCCGAAGAAAGGGUUAGUUCAUGUUCUUCGUCGAGUUCAACUGCAGCGACCGAGACCGACUCUCGACUUUAGCAGGUGGGGAGGAGUUGGCAUGCCAAAAGGAAUUAGUCUACCAGUACUUCAUGGUCGUAGCCCAGAACUUAUCAGCUUCUAGCAUUAUGAUUCCAUUGCCGCCGUUCGAGCUUGUGUCGCCAUCCUAAUAGCCUCCCCAGCAGUCGUCCCAGGAGCACCCCCAUGUGGUUGUCCAAUAAGCCGCCCUAUCAGUGAUCAAGACCUCCUGUAGAACCAACAAUUUUUUUGGGUUGGAUAUAUUUAGUUUCAAUUUUACAAUUUUUUUUUUGGGUUCUAAUAUUUUUUUUUUAAUCUUUGUGU